rnacentral:rRNA from 1 species
GACGAACCGUGCGAACGUUAUUCGGAAUCAUUGGGCUUAAAGCGCGUGUAGGCGGGUCCGUGCGUCUGUCGCUGAAAUCCCCCGGCUCAACCGGGGAACGGGCGCGGAUACGACGGGUCUGGAGGGGCAUAGGGGGACCUGGAACUUCCGGUGGAGCGGUGAAAUGCGUUGAUAUCGGAAGGAACGGCCGGUGGCGAAAGCGAACGGACUGGAUCUCGUUCUGACGCUGAGGCGCGAAAGCCAGGGGAGCAAGCGGGGAUUAAGCAAACCCG